rnacentral:rRNA from 1 species
GAUGAACGCUAGCGGGAGGCCUAAUACAUGCAAGUCGAGCGCCCCGCAAGGGGAGCGGCGGACGGGUGAGUAACGCGUGGGAACGUACCCUUUGCUACGGAAUAGCCUCGGGAAACUGGGAGUAAUACCGUAUGUGCCCUUCGGGGGAAAGAUUUAUCGGCAAAGGAUCGGCCCGCGUUGGAUUAGGUAGUUGGUGGGGUAAUGGCCUACCAAGCCGACGAUCCAUAGCUGGUUUGAGAGGAUGAUCAGCCACACUGGGACUGAGACACGGCCCAGACUCCUACGGGAGGCAGCAGUGGGGAAUCUUAGACAAUGGGCGCAAGCCUGAUCUAGCCAUGCCGCGUGAGCGAUGAAGGCCUUAGGGUUGUAAAGCUCUUUCAGUGGGAAGAUAAUGACUGUACCCACAGAAGAAGCCCGGCUAACUCCGUGCCAGCAGCCGCGGUAAAGU